UGGGGAAUUUUGGACAAUGGGCGAAAGCCUGAUCCAGCAAUGCCGCGUGUGUGAAGAAGGCCUUCGGGUUGUAAAGCACUUUUGUCCGGAAAGAAAUCCUUGGCUCUAAUACAGUCGGGGGAUGACGGUACCGGAAGAAUAAGCACCGGCUAACUACGUGCCAGCAGCCGCGGUAAUACGUAGGGUGCAAGCGUUAAUCGGAAUUACUGGGCGUAAAGCGUGCGCAGGCGGUUUGCUAAGACCGAUGUGAAAUCCCCGGGCUCAACCUGGGAACUGCAUUGGUGACUGGCAGGCUAGAGUACGGCAGAGGGGGGUAGAAUUCCACGUGUAGCAGUGAAAUGCGUAGAGAUGUGGAGGAAUACCGAUGGCGAAGGCAGCCCCCUGGGCCAAUACUGACGCUCAUGCACGAAAGCGUGGGGAGCAAACAGGAUUAGAUACCCUGGUAGUCCACGCCCUAAACGAUGCCAACUAGUUGUUGGGGAUUCAUUUCCUUAGUAACGUAGCUAACGCGUGAAGUUGACCGCCUGGGGAGUACGGUCGCAAGAUUAAAACUCAAAUGAAUUGACGGGGUCAUAGCUG
rnacentral:rRNA from 1 species